CCUACGGGAGGCAGCAGUGGGGAAUAUUGCACAAUGGGCGCAAGCCUGAUGCAGCGACGCCGCGUGCGGGAUGACGGCCUUCGGGUUGUAAACCGCUUUCAGUAGGGACGAAGGUAACCUGACGGUACCUACAGAAGAAGGACCGGCCAACUACGUGCCAGCAGCCGCGGUAAU
rnacentral:rRNA from 1 species